rnacentral:rRNA from 1 species
UACGGGAGGCAGCAGUGGGGAAUAUUGCACAAUGGGCGCAAGCCUGAUGCAGCCAUGCCGCGUGUAUGAAGAAGGCCUUCGGGUUGUAAAGUACUUUCAGUCGUGAGGAAGGUGUUAAGGUUAAUAACCUUAGCAAUUGACGUUAGCGACAGAAGAAGCACCGGCUAACUCCGUGCCAGCAGCCGCGGUAAUACGGAGGGUGCGAGCGUUAAUCGGAAUUACUGGGCGUAAAGGGCACGCAGGCGGUUAAUUAAGUUGGAUGUGAAAUCCCCGGGCUUAACCUGGGAAUGGCAUUCAAGACUGGUUAGCUAGAGUCUUGUAGAGGGGGUUAGAAUUCCAUGUGUAGCGGUGAAAUGCGUAGAGAUGUGGAGGAUACCGGUGGCGAAGGCGGCCCCUGGGACAAGACUGACGCUCAUGUGCGAAAGCGUGGGGAGCAAACAGGAUUAGAUACC